CCGCGAAUCGCCCUUCGGGGUGCCCAGGCGCGAAAACUUUACAAUGCCGGCAACGGCGAUAAGGGGACCUCGAGUGCCAGGUUACAAAUCUGGCUGUCGUGAUGCCUAAAAAGCAUUGCAUAGCAAGGGCCGGGCAAGACCGGUGCCAGCCGCCGCGGUAACACCGGCGGCUCGAGUGGUAACCGUUAUUAUUGGGUCUAAAGGGUCUGUAGCCGGCCGGAUAAGUCUCUUGGGAAAUCCAGCAGCUCAACUGUUGGGCUUUCAGGAGAUACUGUCUGGCUCGAGGCCGGGAGAGGUGAGAGGUACUUCAGGGGUAGGGGUGAAAUCUUGUAAUCCUUGAGGGACCACCAGUGGCGAAGGCGUCUCACCAGAACGGACCUGACGGCAAGGGACCAAAGCUAGGGGCACGAACCGGAUUAGAUACCCGGGUAGUCCUAGCCGUAAACGAUACUCGCUAGGUGUCGGCCACGGUGCGACCGUUGUCGGUGCCGUAGGGAAGCCGUGAAGCGAGCCACCUGGGAAGUACGGCCGCAAGGCUGAAACUUAAAGGAAUUGGCGGGGGAGCAC
rnacentral:rRNA from 1 species